rnacentral:rRNA from 1 species
GUGUCAGCAGCCGCGGUAAUACGAAGGGUGCAAACGUUGCUCGGAAUCAUUGGGCGUAAAGCGCACGUAGGCGGCCUAUUAAGUCGGAUGUGAAAUCCCUCGGCUCAACCGAGGACGUGCAUACGAAACUGGUAGGCUCGAGUAUGGAAGAGGGUCGCGGAAUUCCCGGUGUAGAGGUGAAAUUCGUAGAUAUCGGGAGGAACACCAGUGGCGAAGGCGGCGACCUGGGCCAAUACUGACGCUGAGACGCGAAAGCGUGGGGAGCGAACAGGAUUAGAUACCCUGGUAGUCC